rnacentral:lncRNA from 1 species
GGAGCGAUUUCCGGCCAAAGGGGGGGGUCACCGGACGGCCACCGGAGGCUCGCCGGCGCCGGCGCCGGCCACCGCACGCGGUGGCCGGAAAGGUAAAUUUUGUUAUUUUUUUGUUAUUUGUUCUUGGUCUUAGAAUAUGUAGAUUUUAAGUUUAUAUUAACUUUAAAAAUGUAUAGAUAUGUAUAUAGAAAUCGAAAAAAAAGUAACCUUUUCCGUUUGCCUUUCCUUUUUUCCGAAUGCUUGCUAUCUCAGUACUGAGAUCUAUGUAUUUUUUUAAAAACUCUAACUUCUGUUUUUUGUAUUCAAAUGCCGAAAAAAACAAACAAAAAAAAAGAAAAACCAAAAAACCCCCCUGUUUAGUCCUUCAUUUCGGGUUUUAUAACCCAUUUUUACAUCCUUUUUCUAUUAUUCUAUCCUGUUUUUUUGUCUUGAUCUUGCAGGGCAUGGAGGUGCUGGUAGUGGAGGAGGAGCAUGCAGCGGCAGAUGGUGUCAGACGCGUGGGGGUAUGGGGCCGCUUUAGUGGAGCAGUGUAUGGGGCAACGGCGCCAGAAACCCUAGGGUUUCUGGCUUUCCAAAAAAAAUUUGGAGACUUGGGCCUAUCGGGCUUCACUGUUUUGGGCUGGUGUUGGUUUUUUAGUGUUUAGGUAGUGGGUCUGGUUGUAACUGAGUUUUGGGUAUUUGUAUUUAGGUUUUGUACUUUGGACUUUAUUUAUUUGGUUUAUUGGGUUUUGUUAUUUUAUUGGUAUGGGCCCGGGCAAAAUGGGCUUUUACAUU